GACUUAUUUUCUCAUUAUACAAAAAUAUUCAUUCCCUUAUCUAAUUUUAUGUUAUUUUUCUUUUAAAGGGAAAAAUUGUAAAAGUUUCAGUCCUGUGGAAGCUAUUUCAACCCCUGCAUUUCCCUUACAUGCAGAUGACAGAUGAAUUUGCUCGUUUCUCAGUGACAGAUGAGUUUGUUGCUCUUGUCACUUCCCCAGUCCAACUGUCAUCUCGAAUCUGUCAAGUGAGAAGUUCCAGACACAUUCCUGUCACUCCUUGGAUGUUCUAAUGCAAUAGGUCCAUGAAAGGCCUAGGCAUCUGCCCUAUUGCAAAGUUCUACAAGUAAUUUGAUGUUCAAUCCAGGCUGAAAGCCACCCCCUGUGACAUCAGGUGUGCUACACUGGGGGCGAGUGCUUUUCAAAGGCUGUCACUUCCGAUGAGUUGUGAAGCCCAUCCACUGAGCGUGCUCAGCAUCCUUUUAGCAGAAGCAAGUAGGAGAGCGUGUACCACAGCUCUAUGCUGUGGUUGUAAGAUUCCAAGCAUCAAUGUCAAGGACACCAGAGACAGUGUUGUAAUGGAGAAGAGCCACCAGCCAGAGGUCAGCUGCCCAGAUGACAACCCAGUAUUGUACGUUUUGGCUGUGUGAACCUGGCCUCAGUUGUUUCCCCGUCUGUAUGUGAAGAUACAUAUAUAUGUAGAAC
rnacentral:lncRNA from 1 species